rnacentral:rRNA from 1 species
UACGUAGGGGGCAAGCGUUGUCCGGAUUUAUUGGGCGUAAAGAGCGUGUAGGCGGUGUGUCACGUCGGCCGUGAAAACCUGCAGCUUAACUGUGGGCGUGCGGUCGAUACGGGCAUCACUGGAGUUCGGUAGGGGAGACUGGAAUUCCUGGUGUAGCGGUGAAAUGCGCAGAUAUCAGGAGGAACACCGGUGGCGAAGGCGGGUCUCUGGGCCGAUACUGACGCUGAGGAGCGAAAGCGUGGGGAGCGAACAGG